UAAUUGGCUAUACCCCAGUACAAAAUGGUGUUAAGAAACAAUAAAAAUUUUUAAAAAGAAAAGGUACCUCCUGCAAGCCAGGCACUGUGCUGAGUUUAUUGAACUCCAGUAGUUGUUAUAAAUGUUCCUUGAAAGGUCACCUCCCCUGCGAGGCCUUCCCUGAUCAUUCUGGUCGAAGUGCUACUCAUGUUCACAUUAUUGCCCUCACAGACGUGUCCCUCUCUGAAAUGUUCUUAUUUCUUUUUCUUAUUUUGGCCACAUGGUGAGGCUUGUAGGAUCUUAGUGCCUUGACCAGGGAUUGAACCUAGGCCCUCAGCAAUGAGAACACAGAGUUCCAACCACUGGACCACCAGGGAGGUCCCAUUAAUGUUCUUAUUUCUUCAUCUGCUGGUUAAACGACAUGUGUCUUCCACCAUUGGUCAUCUCCAGCGCCUGAUUCAAUGUCUGGUACACUGUUGCUGCAUUAAUUCCUCAGCCCCUCUUCUGUGUAAGAGCAAGGUGGGAGAGGCAAGUCCCUUGAUCCCCAGACCUGGUCUGCCAGCACCCAAGAUGGGAACCAGAAAUCUUCAGAGGCUGGAGAUCUGUGCAAAGCACAGAGGCUUGGGCUCAGGAGAGGCCAGUUUCGAGCCUGGAUGCAAGGGUAGGGUGGCUGCAAGCUGGACUCAGCACUGGGGCUGCUGGGGGCUGGGAAGUCAACCUUCUCUCCGUGCCUGGGGUUGA
rnacentral:lncRNA from 1 species